rnacentral:rRNA from 1 species
AUACGUAGGUGACAAGCGUUAUCCGGAUUUACUGGGCGUAAAGGGCGUGUAGGCGGUCUUGCAAGUCAGAAGUGAAAUUCCUGAGCUCAACUCGGGCGCUGCUUCUGAAACUGCAGGACUUGAGUGCUGGAGGGGAUAGCGGAAUUCCUAGUGGAGCGGUAAAAUGCGCAGAUAUUAGGAAGAACACCGGUGGCGAAGGCGGCUAUUAUGAUAGUAACUGGCGCUGAGGCGCGAAAGCGUGGGGAGCAAAAAGGAUUAGAUCCCCUGGUAGACCCCGCCGUAAGCGAUGAAUACUAGGUGUAGGGGGUAUCGACUCCCUCUGUGCCGCAGUUAACACAAUAAGUAUUCCGCCUGGGGAGUACGGCCGCAAGGUUGAAACUCAAAUGAAUUGACGGGG